CCUACGGGUGGCAGCAGUAGGGAAUAUUGCUCAAUGGGGGAAACCCUGACGCAGCAACGCCGCGUGGAGGAUGAAGGUUUUCGGAUUGUAAACUCCUUUUGUUAGAGAAGAUAAUGACGGUAUCUAACGAAUAAGCACCGGCUAACACCGUGCCAGCAGCCGCGGUAAUACGUAGGGUGCAAGCGUUACUCGGAAUCACUGGGGGGAAAGAGCGCGUAGGCGGGAUAGCAAGUCAGAUGUGAAAGCCUAUGGCUUAACCAUAGAACUGCAUUGGAUACUGUUAUUCUAGAGUAUGGGAGAGGUAGGUGGAAUUCCUGGUGUAGGGGGAAAAUCCGUAGAGAUAAAGAGGAAUACGCAUUGCGAAGGCGACCUGCUAGAACAUAACUGACGCUGAGGCGCGAAAGCGUGGGGAGCAAACAGGAUUAGAUACCCGGGUAGUC
rnacentral:rRNA from 1 species